rnacentral:lncRNA from 1 species
GUAAGAUGGGAGUUGGGCUGUCAACGAGCUAAACACGAAUGAACUGGGACCGACUCGUUUCGUUCGUUUAUUAAACGAGUUGAACACAAGCUGACUCGUUAAAAUAUCGAGCUGAAAAAUUUAGUUCGUGUUCAACUUAUUUAUUUGCAAGCUGAGCAGGUGUUGGCUCCCGAACAAUAAAUUAGAUUGUCAAUGUUGGUGUUGGGUGAAACCUUUAAAGAAAAUUAGAAAAAUUAGAA